rnacentral:rRNA from 1 species
UGGGGAAUUUUGGACAAUGGGCGAAAGCCUGAUCCAGCAAUGCCGCGUGUGUGAAGAAGGCCUUCGGGUUGUAAAGCACUUUUGUCCGGAAAGAAAUCCUUGGCUCUAAUACAGUCGGGGGAUGACGGUACCGGAAGAAUAAGCACCGGCUAACUACGUGCCAGCAGCCGCGGUAAUACGUAGGGUGCAAGCGUUAAUCGGAAUUACUGGGCGUAAAGCGUGCGCAGGCGGUUUGCUAAGACCGAUGUGAAAUCCCCGGGCUUAACCUGGGAACUGCAUUGGUGACUGGCAGGCUAGAGUAUGGCAGAGGGGGGUAGAAUUCCACGUGUAGCAGUGAAAUGCGUAGAGAUGUGGAGGAAUACCGAUGGCGAAGGCAGCCCCCUGGGCCAAUACUGACGCUCAUGCACGAAAGCGUGGGGAGCAAACAGGAUUAGAUACCCUGGUAGUCCACGCCCUAAACGAUGUCAACUAGUUGUUGGGGAUUCAUUUCCUAGUAACGUAGCUAACGCGUGAAGUUGACCGCCUGGGGAGUACGGUCGCAAGAUUAAAACUCAAAGGAAUUGAC